rnacentral:ncRNA from 1 species
AUCAUUGAAUGUUCGCUGUAUAAUCCCGGAAAUACGGUUCGGGAGUUUCUACAGGAUAACCGGAAAUUAUCCUCCUAUGGCGAGA